GACGAACGCUGGCGGCGUGCUUAACACAUGCAAGUCGAGCGGAGCGGCGAACGGGUGAGUAACGCGUGAGUAACUGCCCCCCUCCCUGGGAUAACAGUUGGAAACGGCUGCUAAUACCGGAUAGUGGGGGAUGACUCGCGUCCUAUCAGCUUGUUGGUGGGGUAGUGGACUACCAAGGCGACGACGGGUAGCCGGCCUGAGAGGGCGACCGGCCACAUUGGUCAGAGAUACGGCGCAGACUCCUACGGGGUGCAGCAGUGGCGAAUAUUGCACGAUGGGGGAAACCCUUAUGCAGCAACGCGCGUGCGGGAUUACAGCCUUCGGGUUGUAAACCGCUUUCCGCCAUUCCGCGGUAGUGGCAGAAGAAGCACCGUCUAACUACGUGCCAGCAGCCGCAGUAAUAC
rnacentral:rRNA from 1 species